UACGGGGGGGGUAAGCGUUGUUCGGAAUUACUGGGCGUAAAGGGCUCGUAGGUGGCCAACUAAGUCAGACGUGAAAUCCCUCGGCUUAACCGGGGAACUGCGUCUGAUACUGGAUGGCUUGAGUUUGGGAGAGGGAUGCGGAAUUCCAGGUGUAGCGGUGAAAUGCGUAGAUAUCUGGAGGAACACCGGUGGCGAAGGCGGCAUCCUGGACCAAUACUGACACUGAGGAGCGAAAGCCAGGGGAGCAAACGGG
rnacentral:rRNA from 1 species